rnacentral:rRNA from 1 species
GUGAGGAAUAUUGGUCAAUGGGCGGGAGCCUGAACCAGCCAAGUCGCGUGAAGGAAGAAGGAUCUAUGGUUCGUAAACUUCUUUUGCAGGGGAAUAAAGUGCAGGACGUGUCCUGUUUUGUAUGUACCCUGAGAAUAAGGAUCGGCUAACUCCGUGCCAGCAGCCGCGGUAAUACGGAGGAUCCGAGCGUUAUCCGGAUUUAUUGGGUUUAAAGGGUGCGUAGGUGGUUUGAUAAGUUAGCGGUGAAAGUUUGCAGCUUAACUGUAAAAAUGCCGUUGAAACUGUCGGACUUGAGUGUAAAUGAGGUAGGCGGAAUGCGGGGUGUAGCGGUGAAAUGCAAAGAUAUGACGCAGAAAUCCGAUUGCGAAGGCAGCUUACUAAGCUACAACUGGCACUGAAGCACGAAAGCGUGGGGAUCAAACAGGAUUAGAUACCCUGGUAGUCC